AUUGCGGCGCUCUGGAGAUAAUUAUUGGGCCUUGUAGGUUUCGUGGUCGGGUCUCUGUUGACUUAUCCCGUAGCUUAGUACCGGGAAACGAUGGAGAGAGAGGAGAACGGCAAGCUUCAACCACUCAUUCCUUCCUACAAAUUAUCAUCGAGAAAGGAGAAGAACACUGUGGACAUCUAAUUGAGGCCCACAAGGAAUGCAUGAGAGCCCUAGGAUUUAAAAUAUGAAAUGGGUCUCACUCUGUUACCCAGGCUGGGGUGAAGUGGCCCAAUCACAGCUCAUUGCAGCCUCAACCUGGGAGGUUCAGGUGAGUAUAGGUGCUUGGAGAGGAUAAGGAAAUCACCCUGAUCCAAUAGCUGGUAACCUGCGAGGCAUAUCCUAUCUCAUGACUAUGGUAACUUCAAGCAUUACAUCGUCACGCAACUAUUCAAGCCUGGAUGAAAGCAUGAACCAGCAUGGACAAGUAACAAACAGUUUGAAGACCAGGCUGAGUUCAUGACCACACUUGUUGACUCUGGUGACUUCAUAAGAUGGCCCCCGCCUGCCUCGCCUGCCUCUUGUCUGCUGCUCCUUUUGAUUCACCUACAACAAGCUGUUCUCUGUUACCAGAAUAUGCCACGUAUUUUGUUUUACUUCUGGGACUGACUUUACAAUCUGUUCUUUCUUCCUGGAAUGCCCUCCUCUAGCUGGGGAAAACCUACUCAUCUUUUUAGACCAGAUUAAAAGUCACCUUCCCUGUGAUGUUUUCUCGUGGAAAAAAAUAUUUUUUUAAGAGACAGUGGUCUCACUAUGUUGCCUAGGCUGGUCUCAAACUCCUGGGCACAAGUGAUCCUCCCAUCUCAGCCUCCCAGAAUACUAGGAUUAUAGACAUAAGCCAUCACGCCCCCAACCUCAUGAAUUUUAGUUAGGUUAUAGCAGUAUAGUAAAAGUCCCUAUGGAUUGAAUUAUUUGCUCCCUCAUAAGUGUUUUUUCUUUGAAUCCUAAGUACACUUAUUUUAUUGGAUUACAGUUUCUGAGUCAGUAUCCGGGAUAGACUGAAAGUUUCUUGAAGUGAUAAUUGUCUUAUUCAUCUUUAUAUCCCCUGUUCUUGGAACACAUAGUCUGUCCUGAAUAAAUGCCUAUUGAAUUGAAUCAGCUCAACAAAUGAGAAAA